rnacentral:rRNA from 1 species
CAGGCCUAACACAUGCAAGUCGAACGGUAGCACAGAGAGCUUGCUCUUGGGUGACGAGUGGCGGACGGGUGAGUAAUGUCUGGGAAACUGCCCGAUGGAGGGGGAUAACUACUGGAAACGGUAGCUAAUACCGCAUAACGUCUUCGGACCAAAGUGGGGGACCUUCGGGCCUCACACCAUCGGAUGUGCCCAGAUGGGAUUAGCUAGUUGGUGGGGUAAAGGCCUACCAAGGCGACGAUCCAUAGCUGGUCUGAGAGGAUGAUCAGCCACAUUGGGACUGAGACACGGCCCAAACUCCUACGGGAGGCAGCAGUGGGGAAUAUUGGACAAUGGGCGCAAGCCUGAUCCAGCCAUGCCGCGUGAGUGAUGAAGGCCUUAGGGUUGUAAAGCUCUUUCACCGAUGAAGAUAAUGACGGUAGUCGGAGAAGAAGCCCCGGCUAACUUCGUGCCAGCAGCCGCGGUAAU